GAGGAGUCGACGCUUCGCCGGCUCCGCCCCCCGCGGGGGCGGGGCCAAACGGGGCCUGGGCGGGGCCUCGACUCCAUCACCCAAUUCGGGGCCUUCCCUGCCCUCCUCGGGGCCAAUCAGGAGGGGGCGGAGCCUCCGAAGAAGAGGAAGAGGAAGACGAAAAUUGCCAAAAAAAAGGGCAGGAGGGGUUUUCGCCGCCGCCGUUGAUCCCAAUAAAGGAGCCGGAUUUGCA